GGGGGAAAGAGACGAGCAUAGGUUCCUCCCAAGAUGCCACCCGCUUCAUUCAAGUGUCUGGCAGCACUGUGUUCCUGUUAGAGCCACCAGCACAAGCACCAGACGAUGCUGAUCCAGGUGAAGGCCCCAGUGCAGCAGCAACAGCACAUGAUGGAGACGAUGAUGAGGAGGAGACCAUCUCUCUGGAUUCCAGAAGGCAUGAGGACCCAGAUGCUAUACAGUGGGAAAACCAGCCUGGCAACAUAGUGCGUAUUAAUAAAAGGACACCACAUCCUGCCAAAUUCCAGCUGCGCUAAUUGUAUUGUGUUCACAGAGCUCACAAGCUAUCAGAAAGUUGUAUG